AUCAUCUGAAAGCACAAGUUUUGGUUUAGUAUCUUCAGUCACAUUUUGAAAAAGAUCUCAAUGAUUGGUUCAAAGUACCACGUUUCUCUGCCCUUGGCUGCUGGAGCCAUAUUUAUUGCCAUUCCUUAUAGCAUCUCACUUCUUACCCAGUGGGUGUAUGGAUGGCCCAACUACCCAGGAUAUCGAAAGUAUAUAGAAGCCCUAAAACCCAGGCGGAUCUACUAUGUAACCCGAGCUGUGUUGGAAACUCUGAAAUAUCUGCAAUACGGCAAACUGUACUUUCAGUGGAAAUUGUGGUACAAGAAUGUUGAUAAUCACAAACAUUAUGAGAAGGGCAUCUCUUUUGGCCGCCAUGGCAACAAACUGGAUUUGUACUAUUCUCCCAAAAUGGACCGAUCCAGCAAUACCCUUUCAUCUGUAGUUGUUUUUGUCUAUGGAGGUGCAUGGGGUUCAGGAGAAAGGUCCACAUAUUGUUUACUGGCCCUUCAGAUGGCAAAGGAGCUCAAUGCAACUGUGGUCUGCCCUGAUUAUUCCAUCUAUCCAAAGGGAAAUGUUUUAAGUAUGGUUCAAGAUGUUGCUGACUGCCUGGUUUGGCUGAGAAACAAUGGGCAUAUGUUCAAUAUUGACACAGGCAGUAUUGUAAUGAUUGGCCAUUCAGCAGGUGCUCAUCUGUGUGCAUUGACCACUCUCUUUCUGGUGGAGGGUGUUGAUGAGCUGGCAAUAGAGGCAGAAACACAGAAGGAAAUUACCUGUUCCAUCAAAGGGGUUAUAGGUAAAGGCAUCAAUUGUAUUACUGCAAUACAAUUUAAAAUAACACAUAUCACCAGUUCAACUUAA
rnacentral:lncRNA from 1 species